rnacentral:rRNA from 1 species
GACGAACGCUGGCGGCGUGCUUAACACAUGCAAGUCGAACGGAAAGGCCCUGCUUUUGUGGGUUGCUCGAUUGGCGAACGGGUGAGUAACACGUGAGUAACCUGCCCUUGACUUUGUGAUAACUUCAGGAAACUGGGGCUAAUACCGGAUAGGAGCUCCUGCUGCACGGUGGGGGUUGGAAAGUUUCGGCGGUUGGGGAUGGACUCGCGGCUUAUCAGCUUCUUGGGAGGGUAGUGGCUUUCCAAGGCUUUGACGGGUAGCCGGCCUGAGAGGGUGACCGGCGACAAUGGGACUGAGAUACGGCCCAGAAGCCUACGGGAGGCAGCGGUGGGGAAUAUUGCACAAUGGGCGGAAGCCAGAUGCAGCAGCGCCGCGUGCGGGAUGACGGCUUACGGGUGGUAAACCGCUUUCGCAUGUGACGAAGAGUGAGUGACGGUAAUGGGUAAAGAAGCACCGGCUAACUACGUG